AGCACACCCACAAGGAAUGCAAAUCUCUCUCUCAGAAUUAUGAUGGACUAUCUUAACGAGUAUGAAAAUAUAAACUCCUCAGAAUCAGUACAUCUUAUUUCCAUCUUAAAACGUGAGCUUUCAAUCCUUUGUAAAAAAGCAGAUGCACAAAAUUUCAAAGAUGUGCACAUACAUAGGCUAAUACGAGGAAGUGUCAUUGCCGAAAGUACUGCAGUUUACAACUAUCCCAACAACAAUUCACAAAUAAUGUUUCUAAAUAAUGAUUUGGGACCCAUCCUGGAAAAAAUCUUUAAUGACUCAGAUUCAUUUAAAAAUCUCAGCAUAGCUCUCGGUAAUGUUUCCAUCCAAGAUCCCCAAAUUACAAUGGAGGCAGUUAAAAUAU